rnacentral:rRNA from 1 species
UACGUAGGGACCAAGCGUUGUUCGGAUUUACUGGGCGUAAAGGGCGCGUAGGCGGCAAUUCAAGUCAGCUGUGAAAUCUCCGGGCUUAACUCGGAACGGUCAGCUGAUACUGCUUUGCUAGAGUGCAGAAGGGGCAGUCGGAAUUCUUGGUGUAGCGGUGAAAUGCGUAGAUAUCAAGAGGAACACCUGAGGUGAAGACGGGUUGCUGGGCUGACACUGACGCUGAGGCACGAAAGCUAGGGUAGCAAACGGG